GUCAUGGUGGCUCAGUGGAAAGAGCCUGGGCUUUGGAGUCAGAGGUCAUGGGUUCGACUCCCGGCUCUGCCA
rnacentral:tRNA from 1 species